UACGUAGGUGGCAAGCGUUGUCCGGAUUUACUGGGCGUAAAGAGCGCGCAGGCGGCCGGAUCAGUCGAAUGUGAAAGCCCCCGGCUCAACUGGGGAGGGUCAUUCGAUACUGUCUGACUCGAAGGCAGGAGAGGGAAGCGGAAUUCCCGGUGUAGUGGUGAAAUGCGUAGAUAUCGGGAGGAACACCAGUGGCGAAGGCGGCUUUCUGGCCUGUUCUUGACGCUGAGGCGCGAAAGCUAGGGGAGCGAACGGG
rnacentral:rRNA from 1 species